AAGGAAGUCCUGGUAUACAAGGCAACAUUGGACCAUGGGGAGCAAUGGGUGUUCAAGGACCACCAGGAGAUAAGGGCCCCCAAGGAUCAGGUGGUCCUCAGGGUGUUGCAGGUUAUCCCGGUAAAGAUGGCCCUCCAGGACCUGCUGGCCCUGUGGGAGAGAAAGGCAAUAAAGUAAGCAACUAUUAGAAAUGUAUUCAAGCCAAAUAUAAAUAAAGACAAAUACAAAGACUCAUAAAACGCCAAAGUUUAAUGUCUUCACACCUCUAAAUUGUGCAGGGAUUUGUUGGAGCCUCUGGGCAAAAAGGAGCUGCUGGUGUCGAUGGUGAGGAGGGCACAGUUGGAAUUAGUGGUCCUGUGGGGAAGGCUGGACAACAAGGUCUAUUGGGUGACCAAGGAACACCUGGACCUGUUGGUAUAAAAGGAGAAGUGGGAGUCCAAGGGGAACCAGGCAGUGGAGGACAGUUUGGAGUAAAAGGCCCUCCAGGAAAAGAAGGAAAAACUGGUGUCCCUGGAGAGCAUGGCAGUCCUGGACCCCUUGGACAAAAAGGUGAUACCGGACCCAGGGGUACGCCCGGACUGGCAGGACGAUAUGGACCUGGGGGGAGCAUUGGAGGAGGAGGGGCCAAGGGUGAAAAAGGCCUCAAAGGACUCAGAGGAGAGUCUGGAAGAC
rnacentral:lncRNA from 1 species